CCUACGGGAGGCAGCAGUGAGGAAUAUUGGUCAAUGGACGAGAGUCUGAACCAGCCAAGUAGCGUGAAGGAUGACUGCCCUAUGGGUUGUAAACUUCUUUUAUAUGGGAAUAAAAUGUUCCACGUGUGGGAUUUUGUAUGUACCAUAUGAAUAAGGAUCGGCUAACUCCGUGCCAGCAGCCGCGGUAAUACGGAGGCUCCGAGCGUUAUCCGGAUUUAUUGGGUUUAUAGGGAGCGUAGGUGGAUUGUUAAGUCAGUUGUGAAAGUUUGCGGCUCAACCGUAAAAGUGCAGUUGAAACUGGCAGUCUUGAGUACAGUAGAGGUGGGCGGAAUUCGGGGUGUAGCGGUGAAAUGCUUAGAUAUCACGAAGAACUCCGAUUGCGAAGGCAGUUCACUGGACUGCAACUGACACUGAGGCUCGAAAGUGUGGGUAUCAAACAGGAUUAGAUACCCUUGUAGUC
rnacentral:rRNA from 1 species